rnacentral:rRNA from 1 species
GACGAACGCUGGCGGCGUGCUUAACACAUGCAAGUCGAGCGGAAAGGCCCUUUCGGGGGUACUCGAGCGGCGAACGGGUGAGUAACACGUGAGUAAUCUGCCCUUGGCUUUGGGAUAACCACCGGAAACGGUGGCUAAUACCGGAUAUGACGCGCUCCGGCAUCGGGGUGUGUGGAAAGUUUUUUCGGCCAGGGAUGUGUUCGCGGCCUAUUAGUUUGUUGGUGGGGUAAUGGCCUACCAAGGCUUCGACAGGUAGCCGGCCUGAGAGGGUGACCGGCCACACUGGGACUGAGACACGGCCCAGACUCCUACGGGAGGCAGAAGUGGGGAAUAUUGGACAAUGGGCGGAAGCCUGAUCCAGCAACGCCGCGUGAGGGAUGACGGCCUUCGGGUUGUAAACCUCUUUCAGUACCGACGAAGCGCCGAUGAUGGUGGUGACGGUAGGUACAGAAGAAGCACCGGCCAACUACGUGCCAGCCGCCGCGGUAA